AACGAACGCUGGCGGCAGGCCUCAUACAUGCAAGUCGAGCGCGCCUUCGGGUGAGCGGCGGACGGGUGAGUAUCGCGUGGGAACGUGCCCUUCUCUGCGGAAUAGCCUCUGGAAACGGAGAGUAAUACCGCAUACGCCCUUCGGGGGAAAGAUUUAUCGGAGAAGGAUCGGCCCGCGUUGGAUUAGGUAGUUGGUGCGGUAAUGGCGCACCAAGCCGACGAUCCAUAGCUGGUUUGAGAGGAUGAUCAGCCACACUGGGACUGAGACACGGCCCAGACUCCUACGGGAGGCAGCAGUAGGGAAUCUUGGACAAUGGGGGAAACCCUGAUCCAGCCAUGCCGCGUGAGUGAUGAAGGCCCUAGGGUUGUAAAGCUCUUUCGCCAGGGAAGAUAAUGACGGUACCUGGUAAAGAAACCCCGGCUAACUCCG
rnacentral:rRNA from 1 species